UACGUAGGGCGCAAGCGUUAUCCGGAAUUAUUGGGCGUAAAGAGCUCGUAGGCGGUUUGUCGCGUCUGACGUGAAAGUCCGGGGCUCAACUCCGGAUCUGCGGUGGGUACGGGCAGACUGGAGUGAUGUAGGGGAGACUGGAAUUCCUGGUGUAGCGGUGAAAUGCGCAGAUAUCAGGAGGAACACCGAUGGCGAAGGCAGGUCUCUGGGCAUUAACUGACGCUGAGGAGCGAAAGCAUGGGGAGCGAACAGG
rnacentral:rRNA from 1 species